GAUGAACGCUGGCGGCGUGCCUAAUACAUGCAAGUCGAGCGAACAGACGAGGAGCUUGCUCCUCUGACGCUAGCGGCGGACGGGUGAGUAACACGUGGAUAACCUACCUAUAAGACUGGGAUAACUUCGGGAAACCGGAGCUAAUACCGGAUAAUAUAUUGAACCGCAUGGUUCAAUAGCGAAAGACGGUUUUGCUGUCACUUAUAGAUGGAUCCGCGCCGCAUUAGCUAGUUGGUAAGGUAACGGCUUACCAAGGCAACGAUGCGUAGCCGACCUGAGAGGGUGAUCGGCCACACUGGAACUGAGACACGGUCCAGACUCCUACGGGAGGCAGCAGUAGGGAAUCUUCCGCAAUGGGCGAAAGCCUGACGGAGCAACGCCGCGUGAGUGAUGAAGGUCUUCGGAUCGUAAAACUCUGUUAUUAGGGAAGAACAAAUGUGUAAGUAACUAUGCACGUCUUGACGGUACCUAAUCAGAAAGCCACGGCUAACUACGUG
rnacentral:rRNA from 1 species